GGGUCAGUAGGUUGGUCGUGCCACCGGUACGUACUGGUCUCACUGAUUCCUCCUUCCUGAAGAACCGUAAUGCCAUUAAUUUGGUGUUGCGGGGAAGCAGGACUGUUACUUUGAAAAAAUUAGAGUGUUUAAAGCAAGCUAACGCUUGAAUACAUUAGCAUGGAAUAAUGAAAUAGGACGAUCGAUCCUAUUUUGCUGGUUUCUAGGAUUGACGUA
rnacentral:rRNA from 1 species